rnacentral:tRNA from 1 species
GGAGGUAGCUUAGCGGUAAAGCGCGUGCUUAGUGUGCACGAGCACGAGGUCCUGGUUUCAAUCCCCAGUACUUCCA